GAUGGAAUGUCAAUUUUGGCACAUGUGCCAGAGUGAGAUGGAUGUGUGCGUCCCUCUUUAUAUAUUUUUUUCUACAAUAUCCAUCGUGCAGGCAAUUUUUAUUAAAAUGCGCAGACGUAGCUAAAGGCGGAGUUGACGGUUGUGUUUUUCUUUGGUGCGGUCGACCGGAAUUGGCAUUCACGGGAACAGUAUCUCGUCGACGUCGUUUUAGAUGAUUGUGGUGUUUUGAGCAAGUCUCAUAACGGAGCGCGCUUUCUUCGAGGGUACUUCAUCACAAACCAGCCAACACAUACAGUCGCAUUAUCAUUCGAAACGUCGAAAGGUGAUGUUGAGGAAACUAAGGAACACAACAUGAGAGAAAAAAAACAAGAACUUGGAAAAGAACGUCACUCUCUGUGAGGAACUUGUAGUGAGUGUUUGUUGCCUCGUCACAUCAUCCUCGGGUUUUGUGUACUUCGCUAGAUCGGUUUUUGCGCCUUCCUCCGGUUAAGCCUCUCUCUUCUACUAAAAAGUCCGCAUCAUGAUGGAAACGACACGAUGAUGAGGACAGCACCAGGGCAUACCAGGCCGCGAGAGAUGAAGAAAAACAUUCACCAUAUUUUUAAUGCCUCUUGUGGUGUGUGAACGCACAACGUGUGUUAAAAUAACUAUAAAAGAGUGAAUCGAGUUUUGUGGUGAAACCUGUUUCAAAAAAUAUCUGUUGACGACUACAGCCAUCAUGUUUUCUUCUUACAACACAUCCACUUUUCAAGGAUCUCUAUCGCAAAGUUUUUUUUUUUUUCAAGUAAACCAUUCUCCCCUCCAUUCUAUUUUUCAAUUUUGAAAAAAAAAAAGAAAAAAGAAAAAAUUGAGUUAAGCAUAGAACUAAAUGCACUGACUUGUCGCUAAUCAAUCGCGCCAACACAGAUUUGCAGACUCAAAACUACAAAUCGACUAAGGCAUUAGGCUCUCACUCUGCAAACAGUGAACAAUUUAUCGUGUGUCUCUAUCGGUAUCGGCCCGUUUUUUUUUCCUCAACUCUCUUGUUCACAUUAUUUCUCUAUCUUGAGUCAGUCCGGCUUUUUUUUCUUACUCCGAUCUCUCUCUUACUCUUCACUAACAUGUUCGCCCAACAAAAGUGAUCUCUAACUGGUCUUUAAACAUUCACGAUGGACAGAAGAAAAAAAAACCAAGCACCGAACAAAAAACCAGUAAAAUACUGCUUUUGUCCGAAAAAAAAAACCGAACAUAAAGUAAGAAUGUUGAGAUGAAAAAAGCGGCGAACAAGAGAGGCACAAUAGAUGAAUUUAAUGGAUUUUUCCAUAAUUUACUCUCGUAGAUCGUUUUCGAGUAAAAGUGAAGUGAUUAAUAGUGGUGCCUGAGACAACGCGGGCCAGUGAUGAUAUUCGGACUGAAGAUAGCUCAAUGGGAUGAUGAAGAUAACUGACGAAAUCUGAAUUAAGCUAACUGAAUGUUAAGUUUAAUUCCUGAAAUUGUGGGCGAAAUAUCAACGUUACCAUCGGACAACCUGAAACAGCCCCAUCGGAUCCAUCAGAGAUAGGAAUCGAAAGCGUAUUUGGGCACACCUUUGACUGGACAUCAUUUCGACGCUUACACACAUUUUCUAAAUUACACACCACGAAAAUUGUACAACUUGAUUACUUCGAAAGGCGCAAAAAUUCACCUUUAUUUCUCUGUGGAUAUUUUCGGAGACCGGCUUUUCGGUCGGACACCUGAGGUGAAAACCAGAAGGAGGAACGGACAAGUAUGCAAAUCACCACAGGAAUGGAAGUAAAGUUGCUGCUGAUGCAUAGCCCAGAAAACCAAUUUGCCACUCAUUGCAGCAAUUUUCAUCAAUUUCUUCCCUUGCCUGUGGGGCGGCGUCUGCUUUGGCCAGGAGAAGGAAAACAGAAGUGCAAUUAGUGUGGUGAUAAAAAGUGUCUGCAGAGGAAUUUUCUCCGCACGAGCACCCAAUUUAUCUGUCCAUUCUCGCCCAUCGACCAGUGUGUGGAGAGAAUUUUUCCUCCCCAUAUUGCUGAGGAGUUCCGGAAGGUAGCAAUUACAAAAAGUGGCUUGCGAUGGGGGAUGAGGAGUCCCGCCCAAUCGAGCGAUUUCGCGGCUCAAACUUCCUGCAAUUACGUGCAAUUAGAGGUAGUUGUGCAGUGAUAAAUAUCCAUGGCAAUUGCUGAGGCUUGGCGCAUUUUGCCCGAGAAAAACCCACUUUACUAACCAUCAAAUGGUGCCCUCCACAAGCGAGGUAUAGAGUUCCUACGCUUUAUUUGAUCGUAGGAACUUCAUACCGUGCUCUUGGAGCACUCAAAGACAUCGAAGAUUUUCUCGGGCAUAGCCUCUCCAUCCACGUGAUAUUUUGGACAGAGUA